ACGGCUAAAUGAGGACAACCCUGUCUCCUGCGGCCAAUCAGUGAAACUGAUCUUCCAGUACAAAAGCUGGAAUAAAAUCAUAAGACGAGAAGACCCUGUGGAGCUUCAAACCAAAUACUACUAAUAAGCUUAGUAAGAGGUUUUAAGUUGGGGCGACUUCGGAACAAAACACAACUUCCAAGCACAGAGACACAACCUCUCUUUCAGGCCAACAUGCCUAAAAUAUAUAAACGACCCAGUCAUACUGACCAACGAACCAAGUUACCCCAGGGAUAACAGCGCCAUCUUCUUCAAGAGUCCAUAUCGACAAGAAGGUUUACGACCUCGAUGUUGGAUCAGGACACCCAAAUGGUGCAGCCGCUAUUAAAGGUUCGUUUGUUCAACGAUUAACAGUCCUACGUGAUCUGAGUUCAGACCGGA
rnacentral:rRNA from 1 species